rnacentral:misc_RNA from 1 species
GGAAGGUGACUUAUGUGUAGCAUUUCAACCUGUAUGCCGUGUCGUUGAACCCAACUUCUCCCCAACGCAAACGUCCAAAGACCUGCUUAUAUUCUGAACUACGAACCUAUAAAAACCCAUAUAUAAAUAGACAUAUAUUUAAACUGACACGCACUCGAUCGAUUUCUAGCUAUUUACAGGAUUCCAUAUUCUCUCUCUGUUCCAUCCAUCUAAAUCCUUAUCUCUUUCAUAUCUCAUAUACACAGAUAUGAGUUCGAUCUCCAGAAAGAAAACCAUGAGAAUCUCAAUAGCCAUAGCCGACGCAGCGUCGUGGUUCUUUGCCAUAGUCCUGUUAGGCCUAAUAUUAUUGGCGUCUAUAAGGGAGCGUUCUUCCACGGCUGAACCUGUCAAAGGGAACCAGCUUCUUGACCGACCUUGCGAUGAAAUAUACGUCGUUGGAGAAGGGGAGACCCUGCACACCAUAAGCGACAAGUGCGGCGACCCCUUUAUCGUUGAGCAGAACCCGCAUAUCCAUGACCCGGAUGAUGUUUUCCCCGGACUUGUCAUCAAGAUCACUCCUUCUAAGCCGAGGAAGUUGUUGAGGUAGUUUAUAGAAUUGAACUGAAUAUUAAUAGAACAUGCUUGUUUCGCGUAUAUAGUUAUGUAUCGGACACCAAAGAUGAAAACUUUUGCCACAGUUAGAUUAUAUACAUGUUUUUCCUUUAACUAUGGAUAUGGCGUUUUCAGUUUCCUCUUAGAUAAUAGGUUCUUGCUGUACUAUAUGAGAGAAGUUGAGGCCUUUUAGUUCGUAAUUUAUUUAGUUUCUUUUGUAAUUUCUCUUAGUUUCUUCUUAGAUACUUCGAUUCUGUUUUGCACUGAAAUUGAAGUUACUGUUAAGAGAAUUAUAUCAAUAAAUACAUUAAUUAGAAUGUAUUAAAAAUU